UACAGAGACUGCAAGCGUUAUUCGGAUUCACUGGGCGUAAAGGGUGCGCAGGUGGUUGUGUGUGUCAGAUGUGAAAUCCCGGAGCUUAACUCCGGAACUGCGUCUGAAACUGCACGACUAGAGCAUUGGAGAGGGUAGUGGAAUUCACGGUGUAGCAGUGAAAUGCGUAGAUAUCGUGAGGAACACCAGAGGCGAAGGCGACUACCUGGACAAUUGCUGACACUCAGGCACGAAAGCAUGGGGAGCAAAGGG
rnacentral:rRNA from 1 species